UAAGGAAUAUUGGACAAUGGUCGGAAGACUGAUCCAGCCAUGCCGCGUGAAGGAUGAAGGCGCUCAGCGUUGUAAACUUCUUUUGGACGGGAACAAAAUACGGGAUUUAUCCUGUACUGAGGGUACCGUCAGAAUAAGCACCGGCUAACUCCGUGCCAGCAGCCGCGGUAAUACGGAGGGUGCAAGCGUUAUCCGGAAUCACUGGGUUUAAAGGGUGCGUAGGCGGUCUGAUAAGUCAGUCGUGAAAUCGCUGGGCUCAACCCAUGCAACUGCGAUUGAUACUGUCAGACUUGAAUCAGGUUGAGGUAGGCGGAAUGUGGCAUGUAGCGGUGAAAUGCUUAGAUAUGCCAUAGAACACCGAUUGCGAAGGCAGCUUGCUGGGCCUGAAUUGACGCUGAGG
rnacentral:rRNA from 1 species